GCAGGUGUAGUUCAGUGGUAGAACCUCAGCCUUCCAAGCUGAUCAUGUGGGUUCGAUUCCCAUCACCUGCU
rnacentral:tRNA from 1 species